rnacentral:lncRNA from 1 species
CUGUGGUGAAGUCCUCAAAGCACCUGUUUCUAGACUUGCCUAAGACAUCAUAUCGUUAUGGAUAUAUCUUAAAGACUCAAGGGUUUUGUUGUUUUUGGAGCUGAGGACGGACCCCAAGUGCUCUACCACUGAUCUAAAUCCCCAAACACGGAAUUGUUUUUAGACUGGGUAUCUUUGUGUAGCCUUCACUUCCCUGGAACGUGCUCUGUAGACCAGGCUAGCCUCUCAGGUGCUGGGAUUAAAGCAUGCACCACCAUAGCUUGGCUGUGGCAUUUUUGUUGAAUAAAGUUGUUAAUUUUUUAG